UACAACAUGAUUCUACAACUGCCAAUGAACUUCGGUAGAAGAGCUGAAGGGGUGUGGAGUGAGCAGAUUGCAGUACAGUCAAACCUGUCUAUAAAGACCUCCCUUGGGAGAGCCAAAAUGUGGUCUUUAUUGGGAGGUGGCCAUUAUUCACAGGUUAAAAUAUAUUGUAAAUGUUAAAAUGGGAAACAAAACAUGCGUUCUUUAGAGCCAGGUGGUCUCUGUUCAGAGGUGGUCUUUAACACGGGUUUGACUGUAUACACAUCAGUGGGAGUGUAACUGGCAGAUUUCAAUACAUACUACAUCAGUGGGAAAAGCGCAAUGAAGUUCAGCUGUUUCCAGCUUGAAACACAUGGAAUCUUCAGAAGCACAUAAUGGCAUGGUCGACAUUAUGGAAGUUCAUGGAGUAUGCCCGUGGCCAGACAAAUCUUCAUCUCUUAGGUUGAAGUUGCAAAUAGAGACUGACAAUGACUGGACAGACAAUGAUGAUGGUGAAGAACUAUAGAAAACUGUGGAAAACUUUUAAUAGUGGCCAUCAACAAGCAGUCAUUGAUUCCAGUAUUCCAGCCAAUGUAUCCGUCUGGUAGCACACAAGAAGCAAUACUAGGAAAUAUGUGACAUUCAUCAGCCAGGUAGUCAUUUACCCCAAGUGGCAAAGUUAGAGAAUGUCUGACACCGAAAUACUCAUUCUUGGAAAAGGAGUGGAAUGUUUUGUGCUGUGGACACUGCAGAAUUGUGGAUUUGAAAGUUUAACUUCUCACACCUUCUAUAUGAGUAAGGUGUAUAAUACAGUAGGAAAGUUGUCGUUAGCCAUUGGAAAUGUGGUACAUACAAUUAGUGGUGGAGAAAUGGACCUGGUUAGCCAUUGGACAUGUGGUACAUACAAUUAGUGGUGGAGAAAUGGACCUGGUUAGCCAUUGGACAUGGGGUACAUACAAUUAGUGGUGGAGAAAUGGACCUGGUCAGACAGUUGGACAUGUGGUACAUACAAUUAGUGGUGGAGAAAUGGACCUGGUUAGCCAUUGGACAUGUGGUACAUACAUUUAGUGGUGGAGAAAUGGACCUGGUCAGACAGUUGGACAAGUGGUACAUACAAUUAGUGGUGGAGAAAUGGACCUGGUCAGACAGUUGGACAAUAAAUGUGUAUGAAACGAUCACCAUGGUGCUUGUCUAAUGGAAAGGGUUAACUUUAAAGUUGCACUGCCAUGUGUGGGGAAAAACAUGAAAUGGAGACGAUCACAUACCAGCGCACACAGUGGACUUUAGAAGAAAUUUCUUAUCAGUCAGGAAUUGCCAAAAAGGAUGUUGAUACUGAUACAACUUUCUCGUAGCAACUUCAGUCCUACAGAUUUAUAUGGGGAGGCAACAAUUAUCACUGUUGACCUAGAAACUAUUGACCUAAUUCAAUAUGGGAAGAUGCCACAUGUCACACAAAGCCGCAUACCACAACAAAUCGCUGUAGCACAGAUAUCUAUGUCACACCUAAAAAAGGAAAUUUCACCAGAGGCACAAAGGAUCACCAGGAUUGCAUGGAAUAUUCAGACAUGAUGACAAUAAAAAGCACAAUAGUCCAACACAUCUGUACCUGGAAUUAAGUCGACUGUAGAGAAAUUGUGUACUUGGCUUGAAAAGAUCCUAAAGUGAUUUUGUUAGCCAGUUAUGGAAGAUAAUUUGAUUUUCCAGUUCUUGUCUCAGCUCUACUGUGCAUAAAAAUAACUAGGACAUUAUUCAGCUGAGUUUCUUCUAAAAAGUAUUCUUUUACUAGUGUUCAAGAAACUGUACCCUAAACAAUCGUACUUGCUAUGACACUACUUAGUAUCCGAUACAAUGCCUAUAACUGACAGACAGACAAAUUUACUAUGAAAAACUGGGAAGGCCUGCCAAGGGUUUUCAUAUGUUAAAAAAAAUUCAAGCAAUGAUGUACACUCAUGAUAAAUUUGGUACCAAAAUGUUCAUUAUCUUAAGUAGAAAAUGACAAUUGUAAUUGGAAGUUUGAAUCCUGUUAUUUUACUCUAAGAAAAUUUAUAUAUUCAGACUUGUAAGCCUUAAUGCCCUCUUUUUACAAUCUGCCUAAAGAAACACUUUAGUUGUUCUUGUUUAUUAUUUAGCCAUUUCCUUGAUUAAAAAUACACAACAAAAACUCUAGCUCAAGACUUUCCAAGGCUGACAAGUUAUUACUUUCUUUGAUUUUGCUUAAGUUUGUUAAUUAUUGUUAAAUACUUUUGUUCAGAAUUUGUUAAGGUGUAUAAUGUUAUCUUUUAAUAGUAAAGUAAGGAGAAGACAACCUUUACUGUAAGCUAAUGUAGCUUUCUGUCCAAUGCCUGAAACAUUUUUUGUAAAUAUUUCAUGACUUUCUGAAUAAAAAUGUAUAAUUUAAAACUAUAAGUAAAGUAUAUAAACCCCAAACUUUUAAGGUGCAAGAAGACAAAAUUUCAUUUCAACUCUUGUAAAAAAAUAACUUUGUGAUAUUUUUCUUAGUGAUAAGUUUCUCAGUGAUAACUAGACAUUUAAUUUUAUAUCUGUAGAUUUUUGUACAGUUAAUUCAGGUGUAUACAAGACAAUAUUUAUAAAGAUUUUUUUUUAUGUUUUUAAGCUACCUAAUUAUUUAUAUAAGAGAAAACUGUUAAAUUUUAAUUACUUCAUAAGUGUACAUGUAAAUCCUGUUUCACUAUACAGUACAACUGAAGAGCAACACCCUUUUGGGGAUACAAAUAUUGACUGUUGUGUAGAGGUUGUUGUCUUGAGAGGUAAAUUUGAUAAUAUAUUUUUCAGCUUAGGGAAAUUUUGAUGUUGUUGUUAUAGAGAGGUUUUUGCUCUGAGGACCGCUCUGAAGAGGUUGUACUAUACUUACAUAUUAUUGAGAGCUAAUGGACUCCAUUAGAAAUAAGUGAUAUUGUUACUUUCAUGGUUUAUCCCAGGCAGAAAGAUCGUCAUUUUUUCCUGAUAUUUAUGUAUUAGCUUGAUUACACUUGUAAAGUACAAACAUAUAAGGGUUUACUACAUAUUUAUUAAUUCUAAUAUUUUUGAUUUCUGUACCACUUUGUAUUUCUGUUAUAAUUGGAUCUUAUAUCUGAAUAAAAUUGAAUUGAAUUGAACUGAACUGAAUUCUAAACUGGAACCAAACUGAACUGAACUGAAUUCUAAAAUGAACUGAAUUCUAAACUGGAACCAAACUGAACUGAACUGAACUGAAUUCUAAACUGAACUGAAUUCUAAACUGGAACCAAACUGAACUGAACUGAGUUUGAAACAGAAACUGAACUGACUUUUGGACUGUUACUGAAUUCUGAACUGGAACUAAACUGAACUGAAUCUGAAGCAGAAACUGAACUGAACUGAACUGAAUAUAGCUGGGUAAAAAUCUACAGUACAGCUUGCAUUAAGAGACCACCAAAGGGAAGGAAAAAACAUGUUCUCUUUAUGCAACAUAGUUUGUUCUUUGAUAUCAUAAAAAAGGAACUGAAAAGGUGGUCUCUUAAUGCAAGAAGCCUCUAAAUCAAAUGUACUUUAUGAAACUUAUUAUGCUUUUGUGCUGCAGAUUUUGUAAUGUAGUUUUGUUUUGUCUAUGAUGAUUUCUCUAAAUAAACUUUAAACAUUA